UACAGAGGGUGCAAGCGUUGUUCGGAAUUAUUGGGCGUAAAGCGCACGUAGGUGGUCUAUCAAGUCAGGUGUGAAAGCCCUGGGCUCAACCCAGGAAGUGCACUUGAAACUGACAGGCUUGAGUAUGGAAGAGGGUCGCGGAAUUCCCGGUGUAGAGGUGAAAUUCGUAGAUAUCGGGAGGAACACCAGUGGCGAAGGCGGCGACCUGGGCCAAUACUGACACUGAGGUGCGAAAGCGUGGGGAGCAAACAGG
rnacentral:rRNA from 1 species